rnacentral:lncRNA from 1 species
UCAGUCUAUCGGACUGCUUAAGUUCCAAGCUCCAUUCGGAUCCAAUCCUAGACAUGCAUACCGUCAUUGCCACACCUUAACGUCAUGGAUAUUUCUAGGAAACCGAUUUUGAUUAAGUUAUUUUUAGGAAAAGUGAUUAAUUUUGGAAAAUACUUUCAUUGCGGAAGCUUUGCUUGUUGUCGUAUUAUUUUGAAAUCAAUUGUUAUUUUUGAAAACGCGCCCUAAAGCUAUCCAAUUUCAACAAUUAAAAU